rnacentral:rRNA from 1 species
UGACCUACGGGGCGCAGCAGUGGGGAAUAUUGCACAAUGGGGAGAACCCUGAUGCAGCGACGCCGCGUGGGUGAAGAAGUCAUUCGUGACGUAAAGCCCUAUCAGCAGGGAAGAAAAUGACGGUACCUGACUAAGAAGCCCCGGCUAACUACGUGCCAGCAGCCGCGGUAAUACGUAGGGGGCAAGCGUUAUCCGGCUUUACUGGUUGUAAAGGGGGCGCAGACGGCGAUGCAAGCCAGGAGUGAAAGCCCGGGGCCCAACCCCGGGCCUGCUCUUGGAACUACGUGGCUGGAGUGCAGGAGGGG